rnacentral:rRNA from 1 species
UACGUAGGGUGCGGGCGUUGUCCGGAUUUAUUGGGCGUAAAGAGCUCGUAGGCGGUUUGUCGCGUCGGCCGUGAAAUCUCCACGCUUAACGUGGAGCGUGCGGUCGAUACGGGCAGACUUGAGUUCGGUAGGGGAGACUGGAAUUCCUGGUGUAGCGGUGAAAUGCGCAGAUAUCAGGAGGAACACCGGUGGCGAAGGCGGGUCUCUGGGCCGAUACUGACGCUGAGGAGCGAAAGCGUGGGGAGCAAACAGG